UACGGGGGGGGCAAGCGUUGUUCGGAAUUACUGGGCGUAAAGGGCUCGUAGGCGGCCAACUAAGUCAGACGUGAAAUCCCUCGGCUUAACCGGGGAACUGCGUCUGAUACUGGAUGGCUUGAAUCCGGGAGAGGGAUGCGGAAUUCCAGGUGUAGCGGUGAAAUGCGUAGAUAUCAGGAGGAACACCGGUGGUGUAGAUGGCUCUCUGGACCGUAACUGACGCUGAGACACGAAAGCGUGGGUAGCAAACAGG
rnacentral:rRNA from 1 species